rnacentral:rRNA from 1 species
GACAAACGCUGGCGGCGUGCUUAACACAUGCAAGUCGAGCGGUAAGGCCCUUUCGGGGGUACGACGAGCGGCGAACGGGUGAGUAACGACGUGGGUGACCUGCCCUCAGCUCUGGGAUAAGCCUGGGAAACCGGGUCUAAUACCGGAUAUGACUCCAUGACGCAUGUUGUAGGGGUGAAAGCCUUGUGCGGCUGAGGAUGGGCCCGCGGCCU